rnacentral:misc_RNA from 1 species
AAGUCGUAACAAGGUUUCCGUAGGUGAACCUGCGGAAGGAUCAUUAAUGAUUUUAGCUAACCAUGGCUAUUUUAGCCAUGGUUAUGCGAAAUUUUGUAUUUAAAACCCCACUCUUAUAAUAAAAAUUUUAUUAUAUUUAUGAUAAAAAUAAGAUCACUUUCAACAACGGAUCUCUUGGCUCUC